rnacentral:rRNA from 1 species
GACGGAGGGUGCAAGCGUUGCUCGGAAUGAUUGGGCAUAAAGGGUAGGUAGGUGGUGAGAUUAGUCUGAGGUGAAAGCCUUAAGCUUAACUUAAGAAGUGCCUUAGAAACUAUCUCACUUGAGUCCUAGAGAGGGUCGUGGAAUUCUCGGUGGAGCGGUGAAAUGCGUAGAGAUCGAGAGGAACAUCAGAGGCGAAGGCGACGACCUAGAAAGGCACUGACACUGAACUACGAAAGCGUGGGUAGCAAACAGG